GUGGUAAGCUAAAGCUAGCGUAGCAUUUAGGUCAUAAAAUGCUUAGAGAUUUGUCCGCUCUUGUAGAGAGCAGUAUCAUAAGGCAUUUAACUGCGUCACGGCUGAUAUGAAUAGCAGGCUGUGGACUGAGGAACAAUGGAUCAGUGCCAUGACCGAAGGAUCACAGCAGUCUGUAAUAGAACUAUGGUAUGUGUCUAUAAACCAGGCUGUUCCACUAUAAACCAGUCUGUUCCACUAUAAACAAGUCUGUUCCACUAUAAACCAGGUUGUUCCUCUAUAAACCAGGCUGUUCCUCUAUAAACCAGGCUGUUCCUCUAUAAACCAGGCUGUUCCUCUAUAAACCAGGCUGUUCUAAAUGUGUCGGUGCCUCUAUAAACCAGGCUGUUCCUCUAUAAACCAGGCU
rnacentral:lncRNA from 1 species